rnacentral:rRNA from 1 species
UUUAAUGAGAGUUUGAUCCUGGCUCAGGACGAACGCUGGCGGCGUGCCUAAUACAUGCAAGUAGAACGCUGAAGAGAGGAGCUUGCUCUUCUUGGAUGAGUUGCGAACGGGUGAGUAACGCGUAGGUAACCUGCCUGGUAGCGGGGGAUAACUAUUGGAAACGAUAGCUAAUACCGCAUAAAAUUGAUUAUUGCAUGAUAAUUAAUUGAAAGAUGCAACUGCAUCACUACCAGAUGGACCUGCGUUGUAUUAGCUAGUUGGUGAGGUAACGGCUCACCAAGGCGACGAUACAUAGCCGACCUGAGAGGGUGAUCGGCCACACUGGGACUGAGACACGGCCCAGACUCCUACGGGAGGCAGCAGUAGGGAAUCUUCGGCAAUGGGGGGAACCCUGACCGAGCAACGCCGCGUGAGUGAAGAAGGUUUUCGGAUCGUAAAGCUCUGUUGUAAGAGAAGAACGGGUGUGAGAGUGGAAAGUUCACACUGUGACGGUAUCUUACCAGAAAGGGACGGCUAA